AGGAUGAACGCUGGCGGCGUGCUUAACACAUGCAAGUCGAACGAUGAAGGCUGGAGCUUGCUCUGGCUGGAUUAGUAGCGAACGGGUGAGUAACACGUGAGUAACCUGCCCCAGACUCUGGGAUAAGCGCUGGAAACGGCGUCUAAUACCGGAUACGAGCUUCCACCGCAUGGUGAGGAGCUGGAAAGAAUUUCGGCUGGGAUGGACUCGCGGCCUAUCAGCUUGUUGGUGAGGUAAUGGCUCACCAAGGCGACGACGGGUAGCCGGCCUGAGAGGGUGACCGGCCACACUGGGACUGAGACACGG
rnacentral:rRNA from 1 species